AGAGUCGAUGUGAACAGAUCGCAGAUAGCGAGGAAGUGAUCGCGAGGCUUCCCUCGUCCAGUUGUAGUAGAGACAGAUUGGAGUAGUCAGUGAGUGAAAAUUGUGGAUUUGGGCAUAUUUUAGAAAGUUUGCUUGUUGUUGGUCUGGUAACCAGUUUUUAAUGCCUGAAAUAAGUCCCGUCGCGAGGAAACCUUAACCAUAAGUGUAGUUUUUUAUCAUCUCGACUAGAUGCGAGAAUAAACAGAAAUUGUCCGAUUUCUGAUUGUGUUAAUAUUGAAUGUGAUUAAAAAAAUGCGUAAAAUUGUCUACGUAAUUUGAUGUUGAAAACUGAAGAAAAAUCGCAAACCAGUCACGUAAAAUGCGAUAGCCUAAAUGUGAAAAAAGGCAACCACUCAGCAGAUCUAAUCGAUUCAGUGCAAGUUUCUUUGUUCGCAAAACUUUGACAGAGUGCGACAACGAUCCCACACAAAUACAUAUGCACUUGCUACGAGUUUGGAAAGUGUUUCCUACAGAUUUUGCAUCACGUAAAGUUGUGCUGUGGAAAUAGUGAAAAAAACCGACGGAGAAGAACGCCUGGUGUAACCGAACCGUUGAUGCACACACACAGCACGUUCACUCGCUCGGACUCGCAUACAUGUGUAGUGUGAGCAGUGUAGUGACGAGAACAAAGAAGCAGACCAUUUGCGUCAAAAGCGAACAAAGUUUGAUUGAAUCUUGAAAAGCUGCAGUGCUCAAGGGAGAUAUUUCCUCUGAUUCCGUAAAAUUUCUGUGAUAGCGAUUCCUGCAACCGUUGUAAGAAGCCGCUGGAAGGAAUCCGCGAAAGGUCGAUUAUCUACGCCCUGAUGCCAACGCGGUUGCACGUAGUCGAAGAAACAUUUGGGAAAAAGCUCUACUUGUGUUUACCGAUAGCGAAGAAAGGAAGAAAGUGCAUCACGCCAAGGUGAACAAAGCAGCUGAAGUGUAGAAAAUAUAUCAUCAGUGACGCAAAGUGAAGAAAAAGUCUUGUAUCUGCAUUCGAUUAUGUUGUGUACCCUGCAUUUUCUUUUAGUACCGAGAUAUUUUUAUAAUAAAAUAAUAUCAAAACGAGAAAAAUUUCACUAAAAGAAACAAAGUAAUCAUAAACUGAAGCAGUAUAAUUGAUGAUACAAAGUAAAUAUAGUUUAUAUUUAACAAAUUAAUAAUAAAGUGUGAUAAUAGUUUUAAAAAAGCAAAUCGUAACAGAAAAACAAUUGACUGACACAGCAAAAGCGGAGUGUGUUCGAGCUGAGCAAAGAAGAAAGUGAAACCAAGUCUACGAUGACGAACUCGCACAACAGGAGUGGCCGAAAUGGCAACAAUGCUGAACGGUAUUUCAACAAUCACAGUCCGCAGCAGUGGAACGGUGGAAGUGGUAAAAGAAACAACUCUACUGGUAAUACUGGUGGCAACGGAAGCCGGGGACAAAAGUCACCGAGCUCAACUUACUUUAGGAGUAUUUCUUCAUCGAACGCGAUUCCGAUAGUGAAUUCCACGUCGCCAAUUAGUAGCAAGAGUGCCAAUUACUACAGCACCAGCUCCCCUAGUGGACGUUCACAUAGCUUUAAUCUCAAUACCAGCUAUCAGCGUUCAAGUCCUGGUGGUAGCGGUUUCAAUACUUCCCUUGGAUCGUACCCUGGAACCCUGCCGGGGUCACCGCCAAACUUUUCCCAUUUUGCUGGAAGCAAGUGUUACGACGCACCAGCACCCACCGCUUUGCCAAAACCACCGGUACAUUGGACUUCGUCGUCAGCUCCAUCCAUCUCUACGGUGGCAUCAGCUUUAAAUACUUCGAAAACAUCCAUCAGCAAGCCAACAUCAGCGUCCGUCAUCACUGUCAGGAAUGUCACCAGCAAGACACCGUCGACAGCUUCCUCAUCGUCGCCUAGGGUCAAAGCAAAGUCAGUGAAACCAGCAAUGUCCUGUGCUGCGGCAGCGGCCAAAGCCAACCGAAAUGUUGAUUUCACAAACAACCUCAAAAUGAUCCUGAAUGUGCAAGCUUAACCAAUUCAAGUGUCCAAAGACAAACCUGAUAGGCCGACUGGCUUAGUGCUGCCAAGAUCGCUUGUUUCAAAACCACCAUCCGUUUAAAAUAAAAACACACCAAAGCAGAUUAAUAUUGUGCUGAAUACGUGAAGAAAAAAACAAAAGACAGUUGUAAGUGGUCUCCUGGGAAAUCUGCGAUAGGUUCACAAAAAAAUCAUCAACCCAUGGAACCACAUAAACAACCAAUCAAAACCACCAACAGUGUACAUUGUAUACAAACUACUAAAUUUUAUCACCAUCACUAAAUAUUACAACGAUCGAAAGCAGCCAGUGAGGCGGAACGAGUAGAGUGAGUUGAACCAUAUGUACUAAAACUUGAUUGUCAAUUCUAGUUAUGUAUCAUCGUUUUUUAAAUGUUUUAUUUUUAAUUUGAAGCGCGUGACAAUUUCUGGUCAAAUUGGUCGGCCAUUGCCAAUGAGUAUCCUAAAUUUAUUGUUUUCUUUUCGCAGUCUCGCUUUGCCGACCUUUUCACAGCAGUAACCAGUGGUCCCAUCAGUCAAACCAGUAGAAAGUUCCUUGCAUCAAUUCAUUCACGAAUGUCAUAUCAUCCUCAUCAUACGAUUUCGAUUAGAACAGACCAGAUUACUGCUGUGAAAAGGCCAUUACAACGGGACGGUAAAAUUUGUUACUUUUGCAUUAUAUACAUACAUAUAGUCAUAUUCAUUGUUUUCAAUUUUAUAUUCUGUGUACAUACACAUAACCAUGUGUUACGAUACCUCACUGCGUAUAGGUUGAGUUGAGGUUCGAUCCAUAAAGAGGCGAUAAUUGAAACAAUUGAAAGGUACGACAAACUAAAGACCAAAACACGCUGGGUGUGUAUACGUGAAGGCUCAAUCUAAUGCGCAAAUAGAAACUCAGUUUCAAACUUGGACAACAUAUUUUAUAAUGUAGACAAAAUCAUCGCACAGACUAUCGAUUCAAACGAUUUAAACAUUGAAAUUUGAAAUUAAAAUUCCAUUUGCUAAAACCAGAUUCGUUAUUUCAAAAAAAAAAAUAUAAUCUCGCUCUAAUUGCGCAUCAGCUUUGGCAUUCAUCGAGCAGGCGAACGCGCGAGCUUUUGAUAAACUGCGCAGUUUGCUGUAGAGUAAAGAUACACGAAACAUAAAACAAAUACAGUACAAAAUCGAACUAUUAAAUGUAUGUUUUACAAUAAUAACAAGCAAAGCAAAUCAAACACUUACGGCUGAAAAGAGAAAAUACAUGUAAAACAACACACUGGUGUGAAAUAUUGGAAAGUUAAGCAGUGAUAGCGUAAACAUGAUUAGCGAAGCAGAGAGAAAGAGAUGCAGAAGCGCGCGCGUGUGUGUGACAAUAUUAUAACAAAAACAAACGAGAAUCGAAAGACUUAUCACUACUGAUAACGAGAUACAUUAUUCAGCAAAUUUGGAAGCAUUCGAUGGGGGUGUCGAAAGCUGCCUCACGUUGUUUCUCGUGGGCAAGCUUUCGCGUUUACUCGGCCGAAACUGGACUCCGGUAUAUCGCAGGAGAGAUAGUUUACGGACAAAACCAAUAUGCGACAUGGGCCAUCUCUCAGGGGGCGGAGUUUGGAAACUUUGCCGACCAAAUGAUUUCCCUUCUUCAGUUGACAGUUUAUUUCACCGUUUACGUGCAUUUAUGAAUCCCACUUUAUGUUCGACAAUUUGAAGGAAUUAGAUAUCUUGUAAAUAGCACAAGUUUUAAAUCCCGAAAAAAUAUCGUAGAAGAGAGUGUGCCUUCUAGUAUUUUUUUACAAAAUGGAGAGUAGACGGAUACCCUACAUCAGCUCAGAAGAGUAGGCUGAGAAAACAAAACAUCAUGUGUGUUACUCCGCCCUUCUAUUCACGCAUUGUUUCACUAACGGAGGGCAUGAUCCGAUCCCGCUGGAUGACGAUCACUACAUUAAUCUGCUAGUGAGCCAUGCAAUAACUUACGGUCUGUUAUUUUCUGUUACACUUACAGAAUGUUUCGGUGCAUGGAAAAUAAAUUAUUGACCGCAAUGUCCGAAAAUUGUUAGGAAUUGAUUCGAAAUUUCAGGCAGCAGAGAAAAAACGAUAAUUUAGCCCAGUGCAAUAACGCUAAUUCGGAAUGAAAUGUAUAAAAUUGAAAGUCUCACUGUUUACAUAGCACCCCUUAAUUACCCUGUACUAUUCUAUCUCGAUUGAUUCUUUCGUUUAAUACAAUAAAACAACAGCCUUAAGUCAUACUAUCUUUCAUUUACUAUUUUUGUGUUAGAAACAAAAGAGAGUCAAUAUUUGCAAUCUAGAUUCUAUGUUUAUCUAUAAAUUAGUAUUUUCUGACAGAUUUUUGAACUACACUACUGCAAAUAUUAUUUUUUUGAUCUCAUCGUCGUAUCCUUAUUAUUUUUUCUAAGAGUUUUCUUCCAUGUUCGGACUGAUUGCACAUAUACGAACACAGGUUUCUAUGCAUCAGCAAACAAUUUCAUCUCAAUGGUUGUGUCAGUCGGUAAAAAUAUUAGACGCAUUAAUUUAUGAAACCUUAAACAGGAAAACUGAUAGUCGAGCUUAUGAAACUAAAAGCAUGUUCUAGAGAUCGUCAUUUCCUGAGGACGGUCAUUGAUUUUUUCCCUGUACAACUUCUGAUCUCACAAAAUCAUUUUAUCGAGUAAUGUGUACUUUUCAUUACCAUACAUGAGAUUCUUUGAUAAAUUGUGAAACAUUGAUUUAUUCUCAAGUGAAGACGCUUAAUCCCUCUGGAUAAAGACUCGUCAUCUUUAUCGUUUGUUUAACAUUUAUCUGUCAAUGUCAUUCCAAUCGAGCACGAGACCUGUCAAAUGCACUCUAUCCGAAGAAAAUCGCUUCGAAUCCUUCUGGAACGACGGCUAUUGACGGGUUUCGUGCUCGAUUGAAAUGACACUGACAGAUAAAUGGUAAACAAACGAUAAAGAUGGUGAGUCUUUAUCCAGAGGGAUUCCGCGUAAAAGCCAACUGUCAAAAUUCUCUUUGAAGGGAAAUUCCGGACAAACCGUUACUGGCCGAGUGCAGUUCACAGCACCAUAAUGAAAGUGAAAUUUUUUCUCUCUUGUUUACUACCAACAUCUGUGAUUGGUGAGUAAUCGUUUAUCUGGAAUUUUCACUCAAAGUGAAUUUUGACAGUUUGCUUAUAUACCCUAAUCAUAUGUUUGUCGAGAACUAUCAGCAAAUUAAGAAACCGUCUACAUGUUCUGGUUGCGUGCAAACCUGUGAUCGUAUGUUUAUUUUCAGAAAACCGCCUAGAUUCAUCCAAUCAAUAAUAAUUAAUUUUUAACUCUUUUUGCCACCUUAGUAUUUAGUUUGUGACACAAAUCAUCAAAAUUGAUAUACCAUAGAGGAAAAACAAAUGAAAUACACACAUAUUGUAUAGCGAUUAAGUAACAUUUAAAGCAAACUCAAACAUAUUGGAAGAAUUCAUUGUGAAAACGUGAACAUUACCAGACUUUAAACACGCAAAACAACAAAAUAGCCACACCCUCACGCCCUUGUAAUACAGACUUAUUUUCUCAUUCAACUACAUGAAUCAGUAACUUAAUUAAUCGAUAAUAGUAGUUCAUGCCAAAAUCACAGCUAGGCCGAAAAAAAUACUAGGUAAAAUAAUGAUUUUUUAUUCUGAAUAUGUAAUGUUCAGCGUUUGUUUGUUGACGAAAACAGUCGAUACGAAGUAUCGUUAAAUUAAUCCUGCGAACAAUCGAAAAAUGGAAAAUUCGUUACUGGUUCCUUACUCAGAUAGGUUUGACGUGAAAAAAAUAUCUCUUCUUAUAUACUUUGUUUCUAUUAUUGGUUAGUUUUAAAAAUUUCCUCAAGAGAAAAAAGGUCGAAAUCUGGUUUAGAGGUACGUUCUUUUCAUCCCCUUUUCUUUGUGACCCUCUUCUGACUGAAAUGAGAAAACAAACAGCUGCCAGUUUUCUUAGCGACGAGACACCUAUAGUUAACAUAAGGGACCAUUCAUAAAUUACGUAACGCAAAAAUUGUCCAAAGUUGACUCCCCUCCCCUAUGUAAUAAAUUGUCACAAAUUUCUCUAUCCCUCUUCCCCUAUUACGUAACAAAUUCUUUGAUUUUUUUUUCUUCAGUAAAAAUAUAUUACGCAACGUUCUAGCCUUACUACCCCUUCCCAUAUGUCACAAUUUGUUCUCCUUCCCCGCUCCUUUAAAAACGUUACGUAAUUUCUGAAUGGUCCCUAAGUAUGUUUAACUGCUAUUUUCCCCUCGAAAAUUUCAUGCUGUGACCGGUUUCAACCGAUGCCUCACGUAAAAGAAGUCAUUCUUCAUGCCACGGUAAAAACUUAUUCACCUGUAUCGCUUUUGUUUCGAGAUAGGCCCAUACCUGUCUAUGUAGUAAACUGCCCAUGAUCGCAUAUUUGUCCCGUUUUCUAUGGGAUUUUCUAUCUUCAUGGGACUCAUUUGCGAUCAUGGGUUGUAAACAGGUCAGAACAAGAAAAUUUUCAAAAUCAAUCCUAGCGAUCGAUGCUAUUUAUUGCGUUGCGUAUAAAAGGUUAGCUUUGAAACAAAAUUCUUUACAUGUGUGGGAACUUUCAUACAUACACUCGGUUACUAUGCGGAUAAAUAUACUUCAAUCUUUAAUAAAUAAUGCCCAAAGUUUACUUCCUAUCUCCCAGGACGCCACAAAUUAAAUAAAUUAGAUUUAUGUUGCCCGAUAAACUUGUACUUGUACAACUCCCCCUCUUCCAUAUGUCACAAACAGCCUCAUUUCAACCUACACCCUCCUCCGUCACCCAAAAAGCGUGACUUAAUUUAUGAAUGGUCCUUAACCUCGCGUCACUCGCACUGUGUGUACGGCGUUCGGAAAAUCUAGCGAAAUCGUCUUAGGAAAACCAGCAGCUGCUCUUUCAGUGAGCCAUUUACGCGACUUCCUGUGGGUUAAAGUGCAAAGGUUUUGAACGGUUUCAUGCGCUUGUUUCAAUUACUUCUCAUGCAUUUUUUCUCUUUCUUUGCGCCUUCCUCUCUUUAGAUCUAAAUCUAUAACUAUUUUAAGAAAUUUUAUCAAGAAACAAACAAAAAACACAAAAAAACGCCAGCCUAUCUGAAUAAAGAGCGCUCCGGCUGAUUGACCACGUAUCGUUUCUAAGCAAGAAGUAAGUAACUUUUUGGAAAUGCAAAAGAACAAUUCAAAAAAAAACAACACGCUUCGCACCCAAAACUCAAACUCUCGGAUAAUCGAACAACAUCAGCUCUGGAGCGGAAUGUCCCUCCCACUGAGCGCGAGAAUAUAACCGUUUCCGGAGCAAAACGAAUGAAGAAACAUACAACUGCGAUAUACAUAAUAUAACAGCCAAUACUGCUAGACAUUAUUUUCUUUAUUUUGAAACAAACAAACAAACAUGUACAGAGCAAGCCGUCGGAAAAUAAAUAAAAAACGGAAUGGUUUUAGGGAGAUUCUAAACUCUAAAAGUGUACACCGUUCGUUCUACAUAUGCAAGGAUGGAAGUCAGGAAAACUCACACGCACAUACGAGAAACCGCAUUUCACGUACUUUUCUGUAUAUUACAGAAAACAUAGAAAUAUCCCUUGCAGAGAAUUUAAGAAUAAAAACAGAAACAAAGUGUGCUGCGCGUGAGUGUUGCUUUGCUUAAUGGGUAAAGACUAGAACCGGUCAAAACAAACACAAGAAAAUUGAGAUUGUAAUGGUAAACGGUGGACGACCUUUAGAUUCGUAAGUGUAAUAAAUAUUAGAUCUUAAACUAUAGAGAUGAGACAAAAAAGGUAGAAAUGUUCGUAAUUGUUCUGUGAUCCCUAUUUCGUUUAAUGUUACUGCUUUUUUCGAGAGGUAAAAUGUAGCAAAAUGGAUUUUUUUUUUCAAAACAGUUGGAUGGAUUCACACGAGUGAGAAACUUGAGUACUGGUAAAAAGCAGUAACCAUUAAAACACGUGCUCGGUGAAUUUCUGAAUUUACCAAUCACGUCAAUGAUAAAUUCUGUACUAGACUUUUGUAGCGAGCAAGUAAGUAAAACUGAACCAAUUCCUUGUAACACAAAAACGCCAUGUACUGUAUCAACAAUCAUAAAUUACUGUAGUCCUGAAAUAUUUCACAGCUUUCAAAAAUGGUUCUAUUUGAAAAAAAAUGAAAUUGUUCGAAAACUAAUGCUUGUACGACAAAUAAGAUAACAACUAUGUAAUUCGGUCAGGAUUUCGGUUCAAAACCAUUGAAAAAUUGUAAACAACCAAUGAUAAUCAAAUUCAGUUCUGUUUUAUAUCUCAAUUGUAACAAAACAUUGUGACAAAAGAUUGUGAUUACUUUGAAUUUUAUGAGAAAAAAAUCGAGAAUGGAAAAAAAUCUGUCCAUUCAACAAAUCGAUGAUAGUAGAAAAAAAUUAUCAUCUACUAUCGGAAAAAAUAAAAAUAAACGCAAAAAAUAGAAAACAAUCCAAAAGCCACCCCAACCCGUUCCAUGCAAAAAACAUACAAGCAAUAAGCCCUCCCGUUCCUUCAUUCCCCAUUCCUACCUUCCACCGCUGACCCCACGUGUCCUUCCCCGUGUUCCAACUUUCCCCCCAUGGGGUCAGCCAAAA